GAGGAAACACCGAGCCGCCUGUCGGGUUGUUAGAAUCCGGCGCAUCUGAUGCAACGUUUGCUGCCUCAGAUUGUCAGCCUGCAACAUUUGCAAGAUCGCGUGGGACUUAACAUGGCAUAUAUAACAGAGAAAAUCUGAAGAGAAUGAAAACCAAUGGAAAAAAUAGAACCUAUGAUUAGUAUAAAAAAAAUUGCCAGCCUUUCCCGAGCAACCAAGAACAAGAAGUCUCUGAUGUGAUCAUGUUUAUUUGAGCCAUUCUUGUGGUAGUACUUCUAACAAAUCAUUAUUAUUAUGCAUACUACUUUCUCUGAUGCAACUAUAUCUAAGUCUAUUCACCAUCUUUUCAUAGAAGACUUUAUGCAGAAUGAUUGCCCCAAUCAUGAUCCUAGAAUUAUUAAUUGGCCGCAUACCUUAA